AGUGAACGCUGGCGGUAGGCCUAACACAUGCAAGUCGAACGGCAGCACAGUAAGAGCUUGCUCUUACGGGUGGCGAGUGGCGGACGGGUGAGGCAUACAUCGGAAUCUACUUUUUCGUGGGGGAUAACGUAGGGAAACUUCCGCUAAUACCGCAUACGAUCUACGGGUGAAAGCAGGGGAUCUUCGGACCUUGCGCGAUUGAAUGAGCCGAUGUCGGUUUAGCUAGUUGGCGGGGUAAAGGCCCACCAAGGCGACGAUCCGUAGCUGGUCUGACAGGAUGAUCAGCCACACUGGAACUGAGACACGGUCCAGACUCCUACGGGAGGCAGCAGUGGGGAAUAUUGGACAAUGGGCGCAAGCCUGAUCCAGCAAUACCGCGUGGGUGAAGAAGGCCUUCGGGUUGUAAAGCCCUUUUGUUGGGAAAGAAAAGCAGCAGGUUAAUACGCCGCUGUUCUGACGGUACCCAAAGAAUAAGCACCGGCUAACUUCGUG
rnacentral:rRNA from 1 species